rnacentral:rRNA from 1 species
GAGUUUGAUCCUGGCUCAGAUUGAACGCUGGCGGCAUGCCUUACACAUGCAAGUCGAACGGUAACAGGUUAAGCUGACGAGUGGCGAACGGGUGAGUAAUGUAUCGGAACGUGCCCAGUCGUGGGGGAUAACUGCUCGAAAGAGCAGCUAAUACCGCAUACGACCUGAGGGUGAAAGCGGGGGAUCGCAAGACCUCGCGCGAUUGGAGCGGCCGAUAUCAGAUUAGGUAGUUGGUGGGGUAAAGGCUCACCAAGCCAACGAUCUGUAGCUGGUCUGAGAGGACGACCAGCCACACUGGGACUGAGACACGGCCCAGACUCCUACGGGAGGCAGCAGUGGGGAAUUUUGGACAAUGGGCGCAAGCCUGAUCCAGCCAUGCCGCGUGCGGGAAGAAGGCCUUCGGGUUGUAAACCUCUUUCAGUAGGGAAGAAGCGAAAGUGACGGUACCUGCAGAAGAAGCGCCGGCUAACUACGUGCCAGCAGCCGCGGUAAUACGUAGGGCGCAAGCGUUAUCCGGAAUUAUUGGGCGUAAAGAGCUCGUAGGCGGUUUGUCGCGUCUGCUGUGAAAGACCGGGGCUCAACUCCGGUUCUGCAGUGGGUACGGGCAGACUAGAGUGCAGUAGGGGAGACUGGAAUUCCUGGUGUAGCGGUGAAAUGCGCAGAUAUCAGGAGGAACACCGAUGGCGAAGGCAGGUCUCUGGGCUGUAACUGACGCUGAGGAGCGAAAGCAUGGGGAGCGAACAGGAUUAGAUACCCUGGUAGUCCAUGCCGUAAACGUUGGGCACUAGGUGUGGGGGACAUUCCACGUUUUCCGCGCCGUAGCUAACGCAUUAAGUGCCCCGCCUGGGGAGUACGGCCGCAAGGCUAAAACUCAAAGGAAUUGACGGGGGCCCGCACAAGCGGCGGAGCAUGCGGAUUAAUUCGAUGCAACGCGAAGAACCUUACCAAGGCUUGACAUGAACCGGAAAGACCUGGAAACAGGUGCCCCGCUUGCGGUCGGUUUACAGGUGGUGCAUGGUUGUCGUCAGCUCGUGUCGUGAGAUGUUGGGUUAAGUCCCGCAACGAGCGCAACCCUCGUUCUAUGUUGCCAGCGCGUUAUGGCGGGGACUCAUAGGAGACUGCCGGGGUCAACUCGGAGGAAGGUGGGGACGACGUCAAAUCAUCAUGCCCCUUAUGUCUUGGGCUUCACGCAUGCUACAAUGGCCGGUACAAAGGGUUGCGAUACUGUGAGGUGGAGCUAAUCCCAAAAAGCCGGUCUCAGUUCGGAUUGGGGUCUGCAACUCGACCCCAUGAAGUCGGAGUCGCUAGUAAUCGCAGAUCAGCAACGCUGCGGUGAAUACGUUCCCGGGCCUUGUACACACCGCCCGUCAAGUCACGAAAGUUGGUAACACCCGAAGCCGGUGGCCUAACCCUUGUGGGGGGAGCCGUCGAAGGUGGGACCGGCGAUUGGGACUAAGUCGUAACAAGGUAGCCGUACCGGAAGGUGCGGCUGGAUCACCUCCUUUCU